rnacentral:rRNA from 1 species
CACGUAGGGUGCGAGCGUUGUCCGGAAUUAUUGGGCGUAAAGAGCUCGUAGGCGGUGUGUCGCGUCGGCCGUGAAAACCUGCAGCUUAACUGUGGGCUUGCGGUCGAUACGGGCAUCACUGGAGUUCGGCAGGGGAGACUGGAAUUCCUGGUGUAGCGGUGAAAUGCGCAGAUAUCAGGAGGAACACCGGUGGCGAAGGCGGGUCUCUGGGCCGAUACUGACGCUGAGGAGCGAAAGCGUGGGAAGCGAACAGG